rnacentral:rRNA from 1 species
GACGAACGCUGGCGGCGCGCCUAACACAUGCAAGUCGAGCGAGAACCAUUCCUUCGGGAAUGGGGACAGCGGCGAACGGGUGAGUAACACGUGGGUAAUCUACCCUCGGUUCUGGGAUAGCCCGGGGAAACCCGGAUUAAUACCGGAUAGCCUCUUGAGCCUUCGGGUUCUUGAGAAAAGGUAGCUUCGGCCUCCGACCGAGGAUGAGCCCGCGGCGGAUUAGCUUGUUGGCGGGGUAACGGCCCACCAAGGCACGAUCCGUAGCUGGUCUGAGAGGACGAUCAGCCACACUGGGACUGAGACACGGCCCAGACUCCUACGGGAGGCAGCAGUGGGGAAUCUUGCGCAAUGGGCGAAAGCCUGACGCAGCGACGCCGCGUGCGGGAAGAAGGCCCUCGGGUUGUAAACCGUUUUCAGGGGGGACGAAGCCACUCGGGUUAAUAGCCCAGAGGGUGACGGUCCUCCAGAAGAAGCCCCGGCUAACUACGUGCCAG